CUGCAGUACUUAUAGGCUGACUCACCCACCUCUCUCAUGCGGAUCCUUGUGCAUUGGCUACAAAAAGCAGAUUCCGUGGUUGUCUAUGCAGCUCAUUCCUUUAUUCCUUUUAGGUGUUGCUUUAAGGGACCUUGGAGACUGUG
rnacentral:snoRNA from 1 species